GGGAUGCCAGGUCGCCGUCGCCAUCACCUGCGUGCUCUCCUUGUCCGUACGGGUACGGGUAUGGCGCCGCCGCCGGCGGCCGGUGUCCUUCUCCUUCCCCUUCCCAUCCACCACACCCAGCCUCCUCGAUCUGCAACAUCCUGCUCCCCCUGCAUGCACGAGGGAUCUCGGGCCGCCGUCACCCUUCGGGAGCUCCCUCCCCUCCCCGCCUUCUUUCCGUGGCUCUGCAGACGCAAGGGAUCUCGGGUCGCCGUCGCCCUUCGAGAGCUCCCUCUCCUCCACGCCUUCUUUCCAUGGCGCGAGGGACCAAGCGCCAUGUACAGACUUACAUACGUGCUGCUGGCCACUGCCCUGUAACCCCGCCGCCAGCAGGGUCGUCCAUGACCAGGGCCCCCAAGCUAAGGAGUGACAUGCUGCUGCCGUGCCCACCACCAUCUGUGAGACUUGGAAAUCUAGGAAGCUGCAGUACAACAGAAGACUAUCCAAUUGGAGGAUCCACAUCAUUUAUGGGAGCAAGAGAUCCAAAACUGGUAGAUACAUGCACUAAUUCUAUUCAGAUAGGAGAAGGGGCACAAUGUGAGGGAGGCGGUCGCCGGCGGUGGCGGCUCCGGUGACCGGCCAGCAGGCAGGGAGACGAGCUCCUGUUGAGGCGGCGGGGCUCGGUGCGGGCUGGUUCCUCUGGAUCGAGCCUUGGCUCUCCCGAGGUGUGUGGUUGCGGGCGUCUGAUGAGUUGGUUUGGCGCCCCCUUACUCAGAUCUGCACGUCCCUGAUGAUCGGAGGUUUGCCUUUCACAUGUUCAUUGAGUUGCUUGAUGACAUAAAAAAAAUUGAAAUAUGGAGUUAUGCAAUUGCAGCAAUAAGGACGGAUGGCCAGCUUCACAGGUUAAGCUCCGUACUGUAAUUUGCAUUCAGUUAUGUGCAGUAAUAAUGCCAUAUUUGUUAGUAGCCUGCUAGCUGUUUCCAGAUUUUUUAGUCAUGAUUGGCUUCUACACAAAAGGAGUUUGUCGAAAACAAGAGCAAUCCCAUUGUUGCUACACAGCCUGAAGAUUCUUUGCCUUUCUUUGAACUGUUUCAGGUUUUUUCUCUCAUAGUUAUAAUCAAAUAUUCAGAUAGAAUCAUAUGGGUGGUCGUGCCAUGUCCACAGGAGCGACUUACAUCAAGCAUUAGGCCUGGUUUUAAUCUUCUUGGUCACAUAUCAGAUGAGUAUAACAGUGUCCCAUCUUUUUGAUCAUGAGCUACCUUUCCCAGAACAGCCUGUCAUAUACUCAGAUUAGUAGCAGUGAAAUAAUGUAACGAAUAUCACGAGAGUGCUUGCAGUUUGUUAAUAUUCAAAUAAAAGGGAAAGCAACCUUUUCCCAGCUAACAGCAGGAGAAUUCAGCAAUGGAUAGAUAUAUUAAACCGUUAGUCCAACUUCCCUUUGUUAUUGAGUCUCCGUAGAAUGAUACUAUCAUGUAUGGUUCGAACAAAUCAGUAUAAAUGGAUAUCAGCACUCUUAAAGUAGAGGAUAAUUAUUGGAUGUAUACUACAAAAUAAGAGUUGCAUUCUCCAAAGUAUCAAGUCAAUGCUGCAUGGUGGCAACAUUGUGUGGAGAUACACCAUUACAGUUUGGUAGAUAACAUGUUUCGCGAUUGGGUAUUUGUGUAUAGCUGGCAUUGAAUGAGGCUCAAUUGAGGUGCUAAUUUUUUUGUGGGGCAAUCUGAAAUGCUACUGCCGCCAUUGUUUGGCAUUGUGCAUCCCUGACAGAUAAGCGGUGGAUGUUGCCUUUUGGCUUGCAUAAUCCUGAAUCGAUGAGUUCUGUUUUUCUUAUGACUUGGGAUUUCACACAAGCACACAAGGAAGCUUUUGUAGAACUUAUCAUUUGAUUUCGUUAUUCGUGUUCUUUUUAUGUAGGGAUUUAAUUUUCAGCAUUCAUGUUGAAUAGUGAAAUGUACAAGUUGUAUGAGCACUCCUGCUAUAGUUAUUAGGUUAGGGCCAGAUGUUUUUCUCUUCCAUAGACUGCUUUUGCCCGUCCGUCAUACCUUUUUGCAAAAAAAAAAGUCCCUAUAGUUUAUUGAAAUCAACAUGCACUCCAUGUUUUAGUCAUAACCGAACCGUUUUUUGCAUUUUCUCAGAAAAUCCCCUGAAAUUUCAGGUAAUCAACCCGCCGUCCAUAUUUAAGUUAGACGAAUCAUUUUUAAAUCAUCCAUAUCUUUUAAACUGUAACUCCGAUUUUAACAUGUUAUAUAUGAAAUUUGAUUAAAAAAAUGUGUAGAAUCUAAACAUGAUGUUAUUUUUAGCUGUUACAUAUUUUUAAAAUAUUAUUUUGGGUGCAAACUUCAUUUAUCGUGCAGUGUCGGUUAUUCUUUUGCACCGGCGGCGAUCUGAAUUGCAAAUAAAUAUCCAUUAAAACCAGAUUGAGAGGAAAGAAACAUUGAUAACCACGCAUGCACACCUCUGAAAAACCUCUCAGCGAAAAACAAUAUAUUUCUCAUCUUAUUCCGAGCGAGUGCGCGGGCGAGUGCGAGGACUAACAACAUUCAAAUGCGUUCAUUUGUGUGAGCACUGAGGCCAAUAAAGGACAUAGACCUAUUAGGGUCUUGAGAUAUGAUUAUUGGGCUAAGAGCCUCCGUUAUUUUCUCUUCAGUUGCAACGCACGGACUUUUUUGCUAGUAUUACCAAUACACACCACUUGGGCUACAUGUUGUCAACAAGCCAAAAAAUAUGUGUAAUUUUGACCCAAUAAGAAAUAAGGAUAUGGAAAAUGCAACGCCCUAGGAGACAAGAGAAUCUAAAAACUCUGAGCAGCUGCACUUUGCCCCCCACCAACACCCUACCAUUUCCUCUGCAUCAGCCUGUCUUGCCACCACUGUUGUUGAUCCUCGCCAUGGUGGCAGCGACUCCUACUACCUAAGGUGGUAGGAGGCUUUCGAUUUCUCCCGGAGGCGUUGGUGGAUGGCCAGACCGACUGGGGCACCGUCAGCCGUAGGAAGUGGUGGCGCUCCCAUCAUCGGUGUAGCGCCGGUGCAUGUAAGGACACGUCGUAUUAGGGGGGCAUGAACCUAGUCUUGAUGGCAAGGAUGUUUUGAUGAGGUGGUCAAAGUGUUUUGAUUCAUCGAAAACAAAGAAGAACCUUUUGUUUACAAGAAGGUUAGUGAUAUGUAAAUCACACAUUGUUGAUUCAGAAUGACAUUCCAAUGCUUGAAUCUGCCAAGGACUCGCUGAAAAAAAAGUUUUUCUUGAAGGACGUGAGAGAAAUGGUUUAUGUUGGGAACCAAGACCUGCAUAGAUAGAUCGAGGAGGCUAAUUGGAUUAAACUAGAGUACAUAUGUCGACAAGGUUCUGAAGCGGUUCAACAUGCAUAAGGCGAAGAAAGAGUGCUUGCCUAUGUCACAUGGCAUUAGUCUCAGAAAGACUCGGACUCCCGCAACUUUUGACGAGCGAAGUCACAUGGAUGCGAUUUUGUAUGCUUCAGUUGUCGGGUCCGUCAUGUAUGUUAUGUUAUAUACAAGACAAAAUAUUUCUUAUAGUCUAAGUAUUAUAAGCAAAUAUCAGGCUGAUCCAGGUGAGUGUCAUUGGAUGACAGAUAAAAAUAUUCUUACGUAUUUGAGCAGGACUACGGAUAAGUUGUUGGUUUAUGAUGGUGAGGGAGGGCUCGUUGGAAAGGAUUAAACCGAUACUAGUUUUCAAACCAAUAAUGAUGACUAUCGCUCGCAAUCUGGAUUUACGUUCAUUCUGAACAGAUGUGAUGUGAGCUGCAAAAGUUUCAAGCAAAAAAUUUUGAUUCUACAAUUGAGUCUGAGUACAUAGUCGCCUCUAAAGGUGCGAAAUAAGGUGUUUGGAUGUGGAAAUUCAUUUCUAAACAUGGUGUGGUUCAAGGCACAUCCAACCCGUUUGACCUCUAUUGUGACAAAAGUGGUGUGAUCUCACAAGCCAAGGAACCAAGACAACCUAUAAAUCCAGACAUAUACUCAGGCGAUAUCAUCUAAUACGAGAGAUCUUUGAGAGAGGCGAUGUAAGGAUAUGCAAAGAAUACGGGGGCUAUAAUAGUGUUGAUCCUCUGACGACGCCUCUCCUGCAGCUGAAGCAUGAGGCACACAUAAGGGCCAUGGGCUUGAAAUGCCUAAAUGACUCUAUUGCAAGUGGGGGACUGCUGAAAAUAUGCCCUAGAGGCAAUCAUUUGAUGAUGGUACUUCCUAUGUAAUCAUAAGUUAUAUAUACUAUCCUUGAACAUCAUCACUAAUAUGUAUCAAGAGGUAUCUUACUUGUUUGUGAGAGUAUGGAUUAUAUGAUGAUUGUUCUAAUUGUCACUGGUUGAUAAGUUCAAGUGAACACAUAAUAAAAAAAAUCCAACAAUUAGUUAAAAUUAUAAAAGGGAAGUGUUAUUUGUUCUUGAAGAUAGAAAAGUAAACACAUACAUUGUAUGUAUGUGUCUUUUUCCCAAACAAUAAACUUGGUUUCAAGUCCUCGCGGGUGCUUAUUUUGCUAAAAAAAUAUGUUGUACGGACUUACCCUAGCGUGUCCCUUAAAAAAUCAUAUAAUAUGUGUUGUUUUGUAUUAGUAGAUGAAGACCAAAAAGUGUAGGGUAACGUAGCAGAAAACAAAAAUUUCUGACUUAC